rnacentral:rRNA from 1 species
GCUUUGUGGUUCACUGAUUUGAAGAGCUUGCUCAGAUAUGACGAUGGACAUUGCAAAGAGUGGCGAACGGGUGAGUAACACGUGGGAAACCUACCUCUUAGCAGGGGAUAACAUUUGGAAACAGAUGCUAAUACCGUAUAACAAUGACAACCGCAUGGUUGUUAUUUAAAAGAUGGUUCUGCUAUCACUAAGAGAUGGUCCCGCGGUGCAUUAGCUAGUUGGUAAGGUAAUGGCUUACCAAGGCGAUGAUGCAUAGCCGAGUUGAGAGACUGAUCGGCCACAAUGGGACUGAGACACGGCCCAUACUCCUACGGGAGGCAGCAGUAGGGAAUCUUCCACAAUGGGCGAAAGCCUGAUGGAGCAACGCCGCGUGUGUGAUGAAGGGUUUCGGCUCGUAAAACACUGUUGUAAGAGAAGAAUGACAUUGAGAGUAACUGUUCAAUGUGUGACGGUAUCUUACCAGAAAGGAACGGCUAAAUACGUGCCAGCAGCCGCGGUAAUACGUAUGUUCCAAGCGUUAUCCGGAUUUAUUGGGCGUAAAGCGAGCGCAGACGGUUAUUUAAGUCUGAAGUGAAAGCCCUCAGCUCAACUGAGGAAUUGCUUUGGAAACUGGAUGACUUGAGUGCAGUAGAGGAAAGUGGAACUCCAUGUGUAGCGGUGAAAUGCGUAGAUAUAUGGAAGAACACCAGUGGCGAAGGCGGCUUUCUGGACUGUAACUGACGUUGAGGCUCGAAAGUGUGGGUAGCAAACAGGAUUAGAUACCCUGGUAGUCCACACCGUAAACGAUGAGUGCUAGGUGUUUGAGGGUUUCCGCCCUUAAGUGCCGCAGCUAACGCAUUAAGCACUCCGCCUGGGGAGUACGACCGCAAGGUUGAAACUCAAAGGAAUUGACGGGGACCCGCACAAGCGGUGGAGCAUGUGGUUUAAUUCGAAGCAACGCGAAGAACCUUACCAGGUCUUGACAUCCCUUGACAACUCCAGAGAUGGAGCGUUCCCUUCGGGGACAAGGUGACAGGUGGUGCAUGGUUGUCGUCAGCUCGUGUCGUGAGAUGUUGGGUUAAGUCCCGCAACGAGCGCAACCCUUAUUACUAGUUGCCAGCAUUCAGUUGGGCACUCUAGUGAGACUGCCGGUGACAAACCGGAGGAAGGUGGGGAUGACGUCAAAUCAUCAUGCCCCUUAUGACCUGGGCUACACACGUGCUACAAUGGCGUAUACAACGAGUUGCCAACCCGCGAGGGUGAGCUAAUCUCUUAAAGUACGUCUCAGUUCGGAUUGUAGGCUGCAACUCGCCUACAUGAAGUCGGAAUCGCUAGUAAUCGCGGAUCAGCACGCCGCGGUGAAUACGUUCCCGGGUCUUGUACACACCGCCCGUCACACCAUGAGAGUUUGUAACACCCAAAGCCGGUGG